GCAGCGAGCGGAGCGGCGGCUAGAACUGCAGGAGGGGCGGAGAACCUUGCCGGCACACACAAGGAUGGAUCCCGCCUAGCGCUCCACAUCAGAUCGCUACCGUUCUUUGUAUCUGACCGCCGACGCCACCUCCCGCCGGUCUUGUACUCGAGUCUGCAUCCUCUCAGAUCUGAUGAUGCAUGUUCUACAGGCUGCUUCAGGCUAUAAUUUGACUUCAGAUCUGUUAUACCCAUCGGCUUCUAUUAGUAAUUUUGUAAUUCAAGAUUCAGGCAGCUUCAGAGUUUGUUAGUGUGUGACUUGUCAAUUUUUAAUGUAUGCUGUACAUCAAGUAUGUUGCCAUGUCGAGAGUUCAAGUCCAGAGUGGCCUAUGAUUUAUUUGAAGACAGUUUAUCACUUGAUCUAGCUGAUGUACUCCUUCAAGCCGUACUAGUGUUAAUUUUAACAUGUACUGAAACUCAA